rnacentral:ncRNA from 1 species
CGACCCCAGGUUAGGCGGGAUUACCCAGUGAGAUUAAGCAUAUCAAUAAGCGGAGGAAAAGAAACUUACAAGUAUUCCCCUUGUAACGGCGAGCAAACCGAGAACAAAUCAUCCUUAGAAUCGGGCGGUUAAGUCGUCCGAAUUGUAGUAUGGAGAAGCGUCCUCAAUGGUGGACCGGGCCCAAGUCUCCUAGAAGGGGGUACUGGAGAGGGUGAGAGCCCCGUCGUACUCGGACCCUGUCGCACCACGAGGCACUGUCUACGAGUUGGGUUGUUUGGGAAUGCAGCCCAAAUAGGGCGGUGAAUUCCAUCCAAGGCAAAAUACUGGCGAGAGACCGAUAACGAACAAGUACCGCGAGGGAAAGAUGAAAAAGACUUUGAAAAGAGAGUCAAAGAGUGCUUGUAAUUGUCGGGAGGGAAGCGGAUGGGGGCCGACGAUGCGCCCCGGUCGGAUGUGGAACGGUGACGCGCCAGUCCGCUGAUCGAAUCGGGGCAUGGACCAGCGUGGAUUUGGGGGGGGCAAAGCCCGGGCUCUCGAUACGCCCGUGGAACGCCGUCUUGCACAUGUUCUGGAACAUGGGUUUGUUGUACUUUUCUUACUUACUAUUAUUUAUGUUUCAUUUGGGAAUGUUACUUAUUGUCCCAAUGACCCUCACUAUGUCCUUGAGCACUGCUUAAUAUACAUGAUCAUUUUAAAUGAUCAUGUGCUAUGGUACUAGGCUUGACACUUGGAUGCCUAGUACUUUGUGUGAUUUGUAAAGACGACUUUUAAUUAGCUUAGGGU